rnacentral:rRNA from 1 species
AACGCGAAGAACCUUACCAAGGCUUGACAUAUAGCGAAAAGUGGCAGAGAUGUCAUGUCCGCAAGGGCGCUAUACAGGUGGUGCAUGGUUGUCGUCAGCUCGUGUCGUGAGAUGUUGGGUUAAGUCCCGCAACGAGCGCAACCCUCGUUCUGUGUUACCAGCAUUAAGUUGGGGACUCACAGGAGACUGCCGGGGUCGACUCGGAGGAAGGUGGGGAUGACGUCAAAUCAUCAUGCCCCUUAUGUCUUGGGCUGCACGCAUGCUACAAUGGCCGGUACAAAGUGCUGCGAAAUCGUAAGAUUUAGCGAAUCACAUAAAGCCGGUCUCAGUUCGGAUUGAGGUCUGCAACUCGACCUCAUGAAGUCGGAGUUGCUAGUAAUCGUAGAUCAGCAACGCUACGGUGAAUACGUUCCCGGGUCUUGUACACACCG